CGAACGCUGGCGGCGUGCCUAAUACAUGCAAGUCGAGCGGACAGAAGGGAGCUUGCUCCCGGAUGUUAGCGGCGGACGGGUGAGUAACACGUGGGUAACCUGCCUGUAAGACUGGGAUAACUCCGGGAAACCGGAGCUAAUACCGGAUAGUUCCUUGAACCGCAUGGUUCAAGGAUGAAAGACGGUUUCGGCUGUCACUUACAGAUGGACCCGCGGCGCAUUAGCUAGUUGGUGAGGUAACGGCUCACCAAGGCGACGAUGCGUAGCCGACCUGAGAGGGUGAUCGGCCACACUGGGACUGAGACACGGCCCAGACUCCUACGGGAGGCAGCAGUAGGGAAUCUUCCGCAAUGGACGAAAGUCUGACGGAGCAACGCCGCGUGAGUGAUGAAGGUUU
rnacentral:rRNA from 1 species